AUGGAUCUUUAUGCCAAUUCAUCCACAAUAAAUCUGGCUUGUCUUCCUGUAAUAAGAAGCAUGAACUUAGAAGGUGACGAUAUGAGAAACUACCAAAUGUUCAGAAGCCAUCCAGGCCUGCUUUGGAUGUCUUUUGGGACAAGAGAGCAUAUGAGGCUAUAUUCAGGCUGCAAACAGCACCAAAGAUGUCAGCUAUAUGGCUGUUCUACAUAACUCCAAAAGACCAUGAAUUACUUCAAAAUAUGCCUGAUCUGAUUUUUUCUGAAGUACUGGGCAGCUGUGCAAACAAUACUAAAAUAGAAAAAAUAUUUUGUGCCAUGCAUUGCCUUGAUUGUAUGUGCCCUUAAAAUAGAAAACAUAGACUCUUUCUAAAAAAAUACAAUUAUAUCAAGACCUGCUUUUUAAAUAUCUAAAAGGUAUUAUUACCUUUUGUGUAUGUGUUCAUUAAGUAUUAUCUUCUCUGAGACAGAUUGGGCCAACAAUAAAAAGAAAGGUAUUAUCAUUUUCCUAUUUACUUUUUAAUUUUAAGGUUGACUUGAUUGAAAAUAAAAUUAUUAUUGUAGGUUUGGCUGUUAGGUUGUUUAUUUAUCAUUAUUAUUUUUAUUUCAUAGUGCUUUUUAUUCUUUGGAAGUCUAAUUUUUAAAAAUAAUUUCUACUUUGAAAUAAUUUAAUUGUACACAAAAGUUACAAAAAAAGUUCAAACCAUUCUCUCACCCAGAUGACCAAUUGUUAGCAUUUGAUUACGUUCAAAAACUCCAUAUAUAAAACUUAAAUUUUAAUCAAUGGUUUCAAUAAUUUCUCUUUUUCCAUUCUGGCUAGGAUCAUAAUUAUGUGAAUGCACAUAAAAGGAGAAUGCUUGAGGGACUCUGCAGUCCAUAAUAUAUGGCCAAACUGAUCAGCAUGGGCUUCUUUAUUGUAGUUUAAUUGGUUUCUCCAAUGAUUUGCAAUCUUUGCUAAGUGGCUUUGGAGAAAUCUAAGCUAAUUAAUUUGCCUGAGAUGAAUGCUGCCAGUGGUUCUAUAACCAUGUUGCUACCACUUGAGUAAACAUAACCUCAGUGUUCUAUCAGUGGGAUGACUACUGUUAUUCAAUUUCUGAUUUAUAUUCUGCAAUAACCUUUGUGCCAUUUUACUAGACUCCCCUGCCAGAUCUGUAAGGCCAGAUUUCUUUUGGACCAACUAUUGUGCAACAUUGUCAACCAGCAAUUACUAGUGGGUCAUCAUGGCUCUGCCCCACACUGAGUUUUAAUAGAUUGGAUUUUUUCAGUGCAGCAGACAGUGAGAAGCAGACAGAGUAAUAUAAUGCCCUCCGUAUUAAAAUUCAUUAACCUUGAGAAAGCACUUAGUAUCAUCAGUAGAUAAAAAUGCUGUUAACCACUAAGCCUUAAAUAUUCAUCAAGAUACAAAGACUUAUUUCUAUAUAAAUUUGUGAUGUUCAUAUUAUGGAGUUAGUGUACUGAAUGUUGAUGAUUAAAAUAUCUUUAGCAAAUCUUUGAGGGGUAGGUAAAUAGAGCAUUAAUAUUUAGUGUUUAUUAAUGUUAAUUUUUCAGGAGGUU
ensembl:lncRNA